UCUUCCUUGAUUCAAUACGAAUUUGGUGACAGAUUGGAGCUCAUAUUUUGCCUUUUCAUAUCAAAUCUAAAUUUGAAGAAAAGAAUUGGUGAAUUAUUGGAGAUGCCCUUUACAGAUAGAUAUGAGUUCAAAGAACUUGUUCAGUAUCAGAAUUCAGAGAGAGAGAUUGAAUUUCACUCCCGAUUUGAGCGAUCCAUUGUAAACGCAUCGUUGCGAGAGAGGAGAGAGAGGCUCACUCUUGAAGGAGGUUGAUUAAGAAGGCGCA
rnacentral:lncRNA from 1 species